rnacentral:rRNA from 1 species
UACGAAGGGGGCUAGCGUUGCUCGGAAUCACUGGGCGUAAAGCGCACGUAGGCGGCUCUUUAAGUCAGGGGUGAAAUCCUGGAGCUCAACUCCAGAACUGCCCUUGAUACUGAGGAUCUUGAGUACGGGAGAGGUGAGUGGAACUGCGAGUGUAGAGGUGAAAUUCGUAGAUAUUCGCAAGAACACCAGUGGCGAAGGCGGCUCACUGGCCCGUAACUGACGCUGAGGCACGAAAGCGUGGGGAGCAAACAGG